rfam:Nematostella vectensis strain CH2 x CH6 NEMVEscaffold_224_Cont19619, whole genome shotgun sequence.
GCCGAAAUAGCUCAGUUGGGAGAGCGUCAGACUAAAGAUCUGAAGGUCCCUGGUUCAAUCCGGAGAGUUUGUA